CGGCGAGUGAAGCGGCAAAAGCUCAAAUUUGAAAUCCGGCGUCUCUCGGCGCCCGAGUUGUAAUUUGAAGGCAGUUUUCUGGUGCUGGCGCCCCUGUCUAUGUUCCUUGGAACAGGACGUCGCAGAGGGUGAGAAUCCCGUCUGGCGGGGGUGUGUGGCCUUUGUAGAUUUCUGGCGACGAGUCGAGUUGUUUGGGAAUGCAGCUCUAAGUGGGUGGUAAAUUCCAUCUAAAGCUAAAUACUGGCGAGAGACCGAUAGCGAACAAGUACAGUGAUGGAAAGAUGAAAAGAACUUUGAAAAGAGAGUGAAAAAGUACGUGAAAUUGUUGAAAGGGAAGGGUGUUGGAUCAGACUUGGUGCUUUGCGAAUAUCUUCCCCUCGUGGGUUGUGCACUCGCACUGCGCUGGGCCAGCAUCGGUUUGGACGGCAAGACAAUGGCGUGGGGAACGUGGCACUCUUUUGUGUGUGUUAUACCCUGGCUGAUGUUGCCUGUGCGGACCGAGGACUGCGGCGUUUGUGCCUAGGAUGCUGGCGUAAUGAUUCAACACCGC
rnacentral:rRNA from 1 species